rnacentral:rRNA from 1 species
GNACGAUGACUUUUGUGCUUGCACAAAAUGAUUAGUGGCGAACGGGUGAGUAACACGUGAGUAACCUGCCCUUAACUUCGGGAUAAGCCUGGGAAACCGGGUCUAAUACCGGAUACGACGGAYCACCGCAUGGCGGUCCGUGGAAAGCUUGAUGCGGUUUUGGAUGGACUCGCGGCCUAUCAGCUAGUUGGUUGGGGUAAUGGCCCACCAAGGCGACGACGGGUAGCCGGCCUGAGAGGGUGACCGGCCACACUGGGACUGAGACACGGCCCAGACUCCUACGGGAGGCAGCAGUGGGGAAUAUUGCACAAUGGGCGAAAGCCUGAUGCAGCGACGCCGCGUGAGGGACGAAGGCCUUCGGGUUGUAAACCUCUUUCAGCAGGGAAGAAGCGAAAGUGACGGUACCUGCAGAAGAAGCGCCGGCUAACUACGUGCCAGCAGCCGCGGUAAUACGUAGGGCGCAAGCGUUAUCCGGAAUUAUUGGGCGUAAAGAGCUCGUAGGCGGUUUGUCGCGUCUGCUGUGAAAGCCCGGGGCUCAACCCCGGGUCUGCAGUGGGUACGGGCAGACUAGAGUGCAGUAGGGGAGACUGGAAUUCCUGGUGUAGCGGUGAAAUGCGCAGAUAUCAGGAGGAACACCGAUGGCGAAGGCAGGUCUCUGGGCUGUAACUGACGCUGAGGAGCGAAAGCAUGGGGAGCGAACAGGAUUAGAUACCCUGGUAGUCCAUGCCGUAAACGUUGGGCACUAGGUGUGGGGGACAUUCCACGUUUUCCGCGCCGUAGCUAACGCAUUAAGUGCCCCGCCUGGGGAGUACGGCCGCAAGGCUAAAACUCAAAGGAAUUGACGGGGGCCCGCACAAGCGGCGGAGCAUGCGGAUUAAUUCGAUGCAACGCGAAGAACCUUACCAAGGCUUGACAUGAACCGGAAAGGCCUGGAAACAGGUCCCCCACUUGUGGCCGGUUUACAGGUGGUGCAUGGUUGUCGUCAGCUCGUGUCGUGAGAUGUUGGGUUAAGUCCCGCAACGAGCGCAACCCUCGUUCUAUGUUGCCAGCGCGUUAUGGCGGGGACUCAUAGGAGACUGCCGGGGUCAAYUCGGAGGAAGGUGGGGACGACGUCAAAUCAUCAUGCCCCUUAUGUCUUGGGCUUC